AAAAUCAAAGAAUGCAAAGAAAAGAAUAGUUUAGAAAGAUACAGAGAAAUACGUACAAAAAGAAACCAAAAUACUUUUACAUUUGAGUCCCUCCAUAGUAAUUUGAAAGGAAAUUUUUAGGGGUUGAAAUCCAGAAACAUUUGUGAAAAAAGAGAGAAAAAAAAACACGGCAAAGGUUUACAUUUAGGCAAAAAUUGAAUAGAAGAAAAAUCCAAGAUGAAGAGGAGUCGAAACACAGCUGAAGGAAUACUGUUUGAUUAACUUUCUGUUUUGACUCGGAGAAUUUUCAAAUAGUUGAAGUCAUUGAGAUUCCACUUGAGGUUGAGAUAAACUGAGAUCAAGUUUUCUAAGUUACUUUUGAAUGAAAUCUAGUUUCUUGGUUUUUAUUGCUUCAUUUUCUGGCUUUUACCCCUGCUGAAUCUGUUGGUUGAUACUGUUGCUGAGUUUUUGACUACUCUGCUUUGUUUUCUUCAAACUUACAAGUAUCACUCAACCCUAGGGAUGUGUGUGAGGUGUAGCUUGAAGCAAAAAUUGAAGAACACGAAAUAAAUAUGCUAUUUAUGUAUACUUUAUUUGUCUUAAAGACUAGAUUCUUUUCAUUAUUGUUCAUGUAUUUAUAAAUUAAUUGUCUAGCACACUGUAAUUUCAAGGGUGUCUCCAAGUUCAACUUUGCAUGAGCUAGCCAAGUCAGGUGUACAUGCCAUUGGUAGAUGCGAGUUUAGAUUUUGGGGGUGGGGGUUUGGCAAAGGUAUUUUGUUCACUUGAUAGCUGGACAUUUGAAGAAUGCACAUUUUAAUCCUGUGUUGAAAAUUAAAAUCCUGAUACGGUUUAAAUUCGAAAAUAGCCAUGGAAGCAAAAAUGUAUUGAAGCGCAUGUUUUGAAUGGUUUUAAAUCAAUUUAGGGAAUUAC
rnacentral:lncRNA from 1 species